AACUGAUUUUCCGGGCCUUGGGCUCUUUGCCCCCGGGCGCCGCUCGCCGCGGCCACAGGCCCAGCAUGAGCUCUGGCUUUUCUGAAGGUGCCAGGGCGCCCGAGGCCGCUGGGCGCCGGUCCUGCCCGCUCUUCGGCGUAGGUGCUGCCUUCAAGGCGCACUUGUGAAAGUUCUCGCGUGGCGCCGUUAUGAUUUGUGCUUCUUAUGACGUGUAUGUACUCAAUAAAAAGGAAAAAGGAAGCACAGCUACUGAAGAACAAGAGAGGCGAGUCACUGUAGUCUCCCCCUUCCCACGUGCACCUCCCGCCACUUCCCCGCUCCGUGGCUGCAGGAACCCGAGGGAUAUUGGUAUCAACUUGACAGAUCCUGUAUUCAGAGGAAUUUAUAGGGGGGUUCAAAAGCAUCAAGAUGACUUACAGGAUGUAAUACAGAGAGCUGUCCAAAUUGGUGUUAAAAAGUUUAUGAUUACAGGUGGAAAUCUACAAGACAGUAAAGAUGCACUCCAUUUGGCACAGACAAAUGAUAUGUUUUUCAGUACAGUUGGAUGUCAUCCUACAAGAUGUGAUGAAUUUGAAAAGAAUAACCCCGAUAUUUACUUAAUGGAGUUGCUAAAUCUUGCUGAAAACAACAAGGGGAAAGUUGUAGCAAUAGGGGAAUGUGGACUCGAUUUUGACCGACUACAGUUUUGUCCCAAAGAUACUCAGCUCAAAUAUUUUGAAAAACAGUUUGAACUGUCAGAUCAGACAAAAUUACCCAUGUUUCUUCACUGCCGAAACUCACAUGCUGAAUUUUUGGACAUAAUGAAAAGAAAUAGAGAUCGGUGUGUAGGGGGAGUAGUGCAUUCAUUUGAUGGUACCCAGGAAAUAGCAGCUGCUUUGGUUGACUUGGAUCUCUAUAUAGGAUUUAAUGGUUGCUCACUGAAAACUGAGGCUAAUUUGGAAGUUUUGAAGUCAAUACCUAGUGAAAAAUUAAUGAUUGAGACUGAUGCACCUUGGUGUGGAGUCAAAAGUACACAUGCUGGUUCAAAAUAUGUAAAAACGUCAUUUCCUACCAAAAAGAAAUGGGAAAAUGGGCACUGUUUGAAAGACAGAAAUGAACCUUGCCAUAUAAUACACAUGUGAAAAAGAUGGGCUUCUGUUACUCAUCUAACUAUCGAGGAGCUGGAGACGAUAUUUUAACUUACAGAAAAAGUUUGUAAUAUCAUUUUAAUGGAGACAUCAUCUGAUUUCUUUUGUUUGCACAGAGAUCUCCCUUCUAAAUAAAUUCUUUGAAGCACAUUCUGGAGGUCUUGCCAUAUGCCAUUUUACUGAGGCUAUAUAGAAGAAUCCAGACAGCCCCUUCCCUCAUCUAUCCACCAGUGACCAAAUACUGGAGAUAAUGGCAGCAGUAAGAGAUGAGGACCCACUGGAAUUAGCCAAUGAGCUAUACAAUAAUACCAUUAAAGUAUUUUUUCCUGACAUGUAAUUGGUAUGUAUUUUCCAUCAUGUAUGUGAAAUUUCAUGGUAAAACUUAGUUUCAAUAAAGGAAUUCUCUGGAA